GCGCCAACCCUUCCCUCCUGCCGCUCUCUGCAGCGGGCAGACGACAGGAGCCGAGCGGCCGAGCACCUGCGCCGGGCCCUGCGCUUCCUGCGGAGCCCACAGGAGCCCCUGCGAGAGGCGGCGGACACGUUCAUGGGCAUGGCCGGGCGGUGCCUCAGGAGGCAGCAGCAAGAGCUGCAGCUGAUCUGGACAGCCCUCGAACCCCUGACGGAGGACAUGAGCAGUGCCAUGUCAGAGCUGGCAAUUCAAACACUGCAUGUCCUCCGAGCAACAGCGAGUGGGUGAUGCUCCAUCUUCCAGAGGCUGCACGAUCGGCUGCGCAGGGCAUGAUCGCUCGGCCUCGUCUGUCGCGGCUCGGCUGGCUGCACUGCUGGAGUUCUCAGGAGAGCUGAUCCGGGAGGCUCUCU